rnacentral:rRNA from 1 species
AGAGUUUGAUCAUGGCUCAGGACGAACGCUGGCGGCGCGCUUAACACAUGCAAGUCGUACGCUGUUCUCUUUCUUCGGGAAGGGGAUGGAGUGGCGAACGGGUGCGUAACACGUGAGUGACCUGCCCCUGUAUGGGGGAUAACCCGGGGAAACCCGGGCUAAUACCGCAUGAGUGUUGUUCCUUCGGUGGGGCAACGAAAGGCGCUCUUCGGGGCGCUGUGCAGGGAGGGGCUCGCGGGCUAUCAGCUAGUUGGUGAGGUAACGGCUCACCAAGGCAGCGACGGCUAGGGGGUCUGAGAGGAUGGCCCCCCACAUUGGGACUGAGAUACGGCCCAGACUCCUACGGGAGGCAGCAGUGGGGAAUCUUGCGCAAUGGGCGAAAGCCUGACGCAGCGACGCCGCGUGCGGGAGGACGCUUUUCGGAGUGUAAACCGCUGUCGGGAGGGAAGAAGUCCUUGGGGAGGAAAUGCCUUGAGGUUGACGGUACCUCCAGAGGAAGCACCGGCUAACUCUGUGCCAGCAGCCGCGGUAAUACAGAGGGUGCGAGCGUUGUUCGGAAUUACUGGGCGUAAAGCGCGCGUAGGCGGCUUUCUAAGUCUUGUUGUGAAAUGCCGGGGCUCAACCCCGUGCUCUGCAGGGGAUACUGGGAAGCUGGAGACAUGCAGGGGCAGGCGGAAUUCCGGGGUGUAGCGGUGGAAUGCGUAGAGAUCCGGAAGAACACCGGUGGCCGAAGGCGGGCCUUGGCUUGGGCAUGGUCUGACGGCUUGAGUGCAGCGAAAAGCGUUGGGGGAAGCAAACAGGAUU